AGAGUUUGAUCCUGGCUCAGGAUGAACGCUAGCGGCAGGCUUAACACAUGCAAGUCGAGGGGUAUAGUUCUUCGGAGCUAGAGACCGGCGCACGGGUGCGUAACGCGUAUGCAAUCUACCUUUUACAGAGGGAUAGCCCAGAGAAAUUUGGAUUAAUACCUCAUAGUAUGUGAGAAUCGCAUGGUUUUCACAUUAAAGUUCCAACGGUAAAAGAUGAGCAUGCGUCCCAUUAGCUAGAUGGUAAGGUAACGGCUUACCAUGGCGACGAUGGGUAGGGGUCCUGAGAGGGAGAUCCCCCACACUGGUACUGAGACACGGACCAGACUCCUACGGGAGGCAGCAGUGAGGAAUAUUGGACAAUGGGCGCAAGCCUGAUCCAGCCAUGCCGCGUGCAGGAUGACGGUCCUAUGGAUUGUAAACUGCUUUUGUACAGGAAGAAACACUCCCUCGUGAGGGAGCUUGACGGUACUGUAAGAAUAAGGAUCGGCUAACUCCGUGCCAGCCGCCGCGGUAAUUCA
rnacentral:rRNA from 1 species